CACUUUGUCUCUAUAUAUGGUAAUGGAGCUCACACCGACCAGCCGCCUGCCUUCCUAGGAGGCUGGCCAGUCAAAGCACUCGAGGAGACCUCGCGACUACCGUGGGCACGGCGGGUUUGUCUUCUAGUAACGAAUCCAGGAUGAAGUAGAAGACACUCCAUGAACCUUGAUUGUCUCAGGAUGAGUAUCAGAACACACAGGCUGGUGGGAACAUGCAAUGCCUCUAAGAACUUCAGCUCAGAAGAGGCAAAUGGCUCAUAUAUUUAUGGCCCAUCUUGUCAAGUCACAAAGUCUCUAUCCUCAAUCAGUGGGAUGAGGAUGCCUACAGGGAAAAGUGGAAAAGAGGAAAAGGAAAUGGAUAAUUGUGAACAAAUGAUACAAUCUCCAUGCCUUAUGAGGCAGAUACUGCUAUAACUCUCCUGAUAGAGAAGAAAAUUGAAGCACGGAGAGGCUGAGAACAUCAUCCAAAGUCCUACAGCUUCUUAGUGGUAGAGUCAAGAUUUCAUCCUGGGGAGUCUGACUCCAUGGUGUGGAAUCAUUUUCUAGAUUCUUCCUCUGGGAACUCUCAUUUUUGUGGCAUGACCUAUAUCAUCUUGUAUAAAUUUUCAGCAGGCUUUAAUAAAAGCAACUUUAAAGAAGA